rnacentral:lncRNA from 1 species
GGGAACUUGACCGCAAGACUUUGGGGGAUGCCCUUCUGUCACUGCCUCUCGCCUCUACGAUCUGUGUAAGAUCUGUUUCUCCUGUGAAGACACCAGGGGCCAUUGUCACAAAACAUGAAAACUACGCUUACAAGGCAGGCCUUCUCAGAUCUGCUUGAUGUCAGCGUGAAUUGUCGCCCAGGCUCCACGGACAUGCAGAAAAUGAGGAUGUUGACCAUUGCAGGUAGCCCUGGGUGCGGUCCACCUGUGCCAUUCAUCUGUACAAUGACCUUGAGCAGGUGAUUUAUAAAUACUUCCCUG